UUUCCGUAGGUGAACCUGCGGAAGGAUCAUUACUGAGUGAGGGCCCCUCGGGGUCCAACCUCCCACCCGUGUUUAACGAACCUUGUUGCUUCGACGGGCCCGCCUCACGGCCGCCGGGGGGCAUCUGCCCCCGGGCCCGCGCCCGCCGAAGCCACCUGUGAACGCUGUCUGAAGUAUGCAGUCUGAGACAAUUAUUAAAUUAAUUAAAACUUUCAACAACGGAUCUCUUGGUUCCG
rnacentral:misc_RNA from 1 species